AAACUUUUCAAUGGCUAAUGAGUAUAAAUUUAAUACUGUGCCAUUUUAGCAUUAAAAGCCAUUAUUUUUUAAAAAGGAAUUGCCAUAACACUUCAAAUCUGAUGCUUUAGCCUGUGUCUAAGUGCUGGAGUCAAUUUUGAAGCAUUUUUUAAAUCAUCACGUUUCCAAAUAGUUUAGAAACAGCCUCAAACGGAGAAUCCACAGAAAUAUCUUGCAUGGGCUCCAUGCUUUAAUUGAAUAGAAAUGCUUAGAAAAACACAGUGGGGUGAAGUCCACAUACAUGUGGCAAAGCAACCGUGUGUGGUCAAGAUGGCCAAAGUGUGGUCAAGGUGUUUGUAAAGUGUUCAUUGUUUUGUGUUCUGUUUCACUGUAAAUUCUUAAUGUAUGUAAAUAAAAAUUAUUUUAGAAAAGAAAAAAAACAUGGCCAAAGUUAUUAAUGCUGAAGAACCGAUGAGUUAGGAGAAGUUGCAGCAGUUUUCUUUUGCCUGAACCUAUUGCAAAGAGCAAGAUUGCACCCUCCUCUCCUCUCCUCUCCUUUUCUCUUCAAAAAGGAAAAGGGUCAAUGGGAGGAGGAGAGAGAAAUUAGGCUAUUUUAAAAGCAGAGGAAAAAGUGGGGUGGAUGAUUUGGAACUGUCUCUGCAAAGUCAGGACAGCUGGCGGGAAAGGGAAGAAGAAUAAAACCUUGAAGUCCUUUUGAGCGUACAAACCAUGUUCAUCUUUUUCAGGGUCUUCAAAAAGAUCAGCAAAAAAAGCCAUGUUUCUGCUGGUGAAAGAGCCUUAGAAUCAGACUAUGGCAUGAACAACAGCAUCCCUUGCUGUAGUAGAAGCUUGGUGGAUCAAAGGCCCUUCUUCAGAGCUCCCCCUCUGGUGCCACGAAACAUCACAAUGUACAGGGCCCCACAACCACCACGGUCUAUCAUUUAUAUCCAGGCAAGAAAAUGAAGGAGAAAUGGCUACUUCCCUUCUGCAAUCACUGGGGAUUGACAUUCUUACUGAAGACACUGAAGAUCUUAUUGAAAAUAUAACAGUAAGAAUGUGUUACAUCGUGCAAAACUACAGAAAGGAAGAUUUUCCUUUGAACUCUUUGGGAGCCGUUGCGGUGAAAUCUAGAAAGGGAGCAGGAGCAGUGGUUUGCCUGAUGGCCAUCACUUGGAUUUACCAGAGGUCACCAAAUGUCAUUCUGCAGUCCGAUAAUUCACCAGGAAAUUCCUGGGCCAUGGAUGGUUCUCGUGACUUUUUAAUAAUUAAACUGUUCCAACCCAGCUGCCCUGUGUUUUUGCUUAUGGACCAUUGGAGGAAAGAAAUGGCUCCCACCACUGCUCUGCAAAACCUUUCCGUAUAUGGAUUUAAGAAGGAUAUCGAAAUAGAGGAAGGAACAUUUUUGGGGUCUUUCCUUUACAACAUCAAUGAUCAGCCUAGACAGAUGUUCAAACUGGAGGGAUCAUGUCCGGAAGGAUGGCAAUAUCUAAAACUUGUCAUUUCAAGUAACUGAAAUAACCAAAACUACGCAUGUAUAUAUAAAAUCCAAACCUACAGAUUGAAAAUAUGAAAAAAGAACAAAAAAGCUUAGACCCUUUUUUGAUAUGGAAAAAAGAUUCUUUACUAUUUGCUAUACUGUUUGUUACUAUUUGUUACUUCCAGAGCCUGUGGCAUGGCUCAUUUUUGUUUUUGUAUAUUAUUAUUUCCUUUUUUUAAACUUUCCCCAUUUUUCCUUGUUCACUUACCCUCCCCACGGCCCCCCACUCCUUUCCUCUUCCACAUAGUCUGUAUAUAAUGUUUUAUUAUAUUAAAUUUUUUUGUUGUUGUUAUAAGAAUUGUAUCAAAGUUGCUUACAAACCUUACAAAAAAAAUGAUAUUAUUAAAAAAAGAAUCUUUAAUAU